rnacentral:lncRNA from 1 species
GAUUCACACACUCCAUAAUAUUUAAUCCAAAUACAAGUUACAAUGGCAUGCAUGCCAAACUUUAAGAUAUAAAGCCUAAACCACCGUACCAUUAAUAAACCAUGGACGAAAUAGAAAAUUGGCUACUAACACCAACUAACCAAGGUUCAUAACUAAAACAUUUGCAGUCCGGAGGUAAAACCGAAUUAUUAACCCCACUUCAACCAAAACUGCAGCAGCUGACCACAAACAACAGUAGGACGUAUACGAAAACCGGCAGCUUGGAUCUCACCUACAGUACCAUGUCGGCUCGAACACAAUCCAGAUGCACACUUCUUCACGCCGUGCUAGAAGACCAUGUCCUGUUGAAAUCACUAAAUCCCUUUAGUGGAUUUGCAGGCGACUCAUGUUUCUUCAAAGGAAGGGCAUAUGAAGGUCAUUUAGCAGACCUUGGAUUCAAUCCCUUCAUGUUGCCAAUACCGCAUCAAACCAACAUUAAACGUGGCCAAGCGAAAGCGGUUUGAAACCUGCACCAAACGGAAUGCAUCAUAAAAAAUGACCAACAUAAAUUGCUAAGCAAAAUGAAAGAAAAUGAUAAUUCAAAACUAAAAUUUUCAACUGUCAUAACCACCCUAACCAAGUUCUUGAACCCUUCAAAGAAACCCUCUCAUCAACACUUCAAAACUCCACUACAAAACUAAACCUCCAACUACUAAUAACUUGCGACCUGAUAGCAGAACCAGGGAAUGAGUUCAUGACCAACCUGACUUCACCCAAAACCUCCAACAGAAUUCUAACUAUCAUUACGAAACUAACAUCCCAACUGUCAUACCCGAUCUAACCUCAACCACCUCAAAAAUUCCAUGAACUGGACCAAGAAUUCCAAACCACUGAGGACAGCCCUGCAUAACAGCUUAAAUGAAGCGAAGUCCGACUCGGCGAAUCCAAGCCAUUCAAUCCUAGCAACCUGCAGAAGGGAAGAAUCAAAAUGUAAAUGGAAUUCUAGUAGGCAGCGCCACACAUCGAGUGGUUUUCAUCACUUAACAAGAAACCAACUCUAACUGUUAUUAAUUAACAAACCUAUAACUAACCCAAUCUUAACACAAUAAAAGGAUAACAAACUUUUCCAACUGUCAAAAAAACUUUCUAACAGAAAUAACCAACUCUAACAACCUCUAACCAACCCCUAACUUCCCUAACUAAAAAUUCAUAAACCUAUAAAAGCAUACCUUGCCCAAUCAUUUUGGAUUUCAUCAUAUUCAUUCUUCCUCACUUUCUUCAAUCUUCUUCAACACCUUUCUUCCAUUUUCUCCAUUCACAACCAAUUUCAAUAUCCAUCUUCAACCUCACACCUAAAUAAUCUUCAAUCUCCUCCUUCAUCUUCAAUCCUCACUUUCUUCAAUCUUCUUCAACACCUUUCUUCCAUUUUCUCCAUUCACAACCAAUUUCAAUAUCCAUCUUCAACCUCACACCUAAAUAAUCUUCAAUCUCCUCCUUCAUCUUCAAACUGAACCGUCAAGCUCCAACCUCCAGGUUCUUCAUCGAUUGCACGAAACAACCUUCAAUUCUUCACCCUCCACUUCACAACCAUAACUUCCAUGGAACCUCACCUCUAACCGCCUUCAACACACACACACACACACAGGGAGGCGAGAAAUGAAAAACAGAACAGAAACAGAAGAAAACAAAUCAGAAAGAUUGAAAGAAGUAAGAGAACUCACAUGACCGCGUUAUCCUCAUCAUCUACAGAAUCGGAAACCUUCCAUUAGCCUCUCACGUAACCAUCGUCCAAAUCGGUCAGAAUCACUAAACUUCAACAAUCUCCAUAGAUUACACUGCAACAACACGAUUCCACAGAGAAAUGAAAUUGAAUUAGAAUAGAAGAUUGAAAAAGAAGGACGAGAAAGAAACACAUAGGAAUUGAAGGAGAAGAGAAGUGGAAAAGGUAGAAGCUUUUACCGGCAAUGUCGACAUCAAUCCAAAGACGAGAUACGGUUUCUUCAAGGAGAAUGUGAAGCAAUCCUCGAACCAUUUGUGGAAGAUUCAUUUGGAAUUGUUGCGAUGGAACCUACCAUUCCUCGAUUCAGUUACAGAACAACAUAGAAGGUAACAGAAGUUCGGAAAGAAGAUGAGAGGCGCAUACCUGAAUUCGUUUCAAACCUUGGAAACCAGCACAAAUCGAAGGUUAUCCGUUAAUCUUAGUCUUCACCGUCGACUACAAAUACAAUAACAACGAUUCAUAAGGAAUCAACAACAUUGAAUGCGCAUCAGAAUUACAAAUAUAAGCG